GGGGAAUAUUGGGCAAUGGGCGAAAGCCUGACCCAGCAACGCCGCGUGAAGGAAGAAGGCCUUCGGGUUGUAAACUUCUUUUAUGAGGGACGAAGGAAGUGACGGUACCUCAUGAAUAAGCCACGGCUAACUACGUGCCAGCAGCCGCGGUAAUACGUAGGUGGCAAGCGUUAUCCGGAUUUACUGGGUGUAAAGGGCGCGUAGGCGGGAAGGCAAGUCAGAUGUGAAAUCCAGGGGCUCAACCCCUGAACUGCAUUUGAAACUGCUUUUCUUGAGUGUCGGAGAGGUAGAUGGAAUUCCUAGUGUAGCGGUGAAAUGCGUAGAUAUUAGGAGGAACACCAGUGGCGAAGGCGAUCUACUGGACGAUAACUGACGCUGAGGCGCGAAAGCGUGGGGAGCAAAC
rnacentral:rRNA from 1 species